AUCCAUGCAAUGAGCACAAAGCAAACUAUUCUUUCGCGUUUUACAAAAGAAUAUUGUGUGCUCGUUGCUCAUAGUGGCAUACACCUAUUUUUGAAGAGGUCUUCUUUUUUAUGAAUG